rnacentral:rRNA from 1 species
GACGAACGCUGGCGGCGUGCUUAACACAUGCAAGUCGAACGGAAAGGCCCUGCUUUUGUGGGGUGCUCGAGUGGCGAACGGGUGAGUAACACGUGAGUAACCUGCCCUUGACUUUGGGAUAACUUCAGGAAACUGGGGCUAAUACCGGAUAGGAGCUCCUGCUGCAUGGUGGGGGUUGGAAAGUUUCGGCGGUUGGGGAUGGACUCGCGGCUUAUCAGCUUGUUGGUGGGGUAGUGGCUUACCAAGGCUUUGACGGGUAGCCGGCCUGAGAGGGUGACCGGCCACAUUGGGACUGAGAUACGGCCCAGACUCCUACGGGAGGCAGCAGUGGGGAGUAUUGCACAAUGGGAGGAAGCCUGAUGCAGCAACGCCGCGUGCGGGAUGACGGCCUUCGGGUUGUAAACCGCUUUCGCCUGUGACGAAGCGUGAGUGACGGUAAUGGGUAAAGAAGCACCGGCUAACUACGUG